GCCCAGAUAGCUCAGUCGGUAGAGCAAAGGAUUGAAAAUCCUUGUGUCGGUGGUUCGAUCCCACCUCUGGGCACCA
rnacentral:tRNA from 1 species